UUUUAUUUUGCAUUAAGAACCCCCUAAAAUUGGAAUGAUAGAAGAUUAGCAUGGCCCCUGUGCAAGGAUGACACGUAAAUUCACAAAAAAAAAAAAAAAAAA